UCUUUGGUUCCAUUGAGGAAGUAAAAGUCGUAACUAAGUUGUCUGCGUUGGUGAACCAGCGGAGGGAUCAUUACCGAGUUUUCAACUCCCAAACCCCUGUGAACAUACCAAUCGUUGCCUCGGCGGGAGAGCCCCGGGCGUUGGCGAAAGCCUCGCACCGGUAUCAGGCGCCCGCCGGAGGACCCAAACAAACUCUUGAAUUUUAAAGUAUCUUCUGAGUAAUAUAAGUUAAAUAAAUUAAAACUUUCAACAACGGAUCUCUUGGUUCUGGCAUCGAUGAAGAACGCAGCGAAAUGCGAUAAGUAAUGUGAAUUGCAGAAUUCAGUGAAUCAUCGAAUCUUUGAACGCACAUUGCGCCCGCCAGUAUUCUGGCGGGCAUGCCUGUUCGAGCGUCAUUUCAACCCUCAAGCCCAGCUUGGUGUUGGGGAUCGGCACAGGCGCCCUCGGGCGCCCGCCGUCCCCUAAAUCUAGUGGCGGUCCCGCUGCAGCCUCCUCUGCGUAGUAGUUUUCUCCUCGCAAGGGCAGCUCGGUGGCGACCUCGCCGUAAAACCCCCAACUUCUGAAAGGUUGACCUCGAAUCAGGUAGGAAUACCCGCUGAACUUAAGCAUAUCAUA
rnacentral:rRNA from 1 species